rnacentral:misc_RNA from 1 species
GGGUACCUUCACAUUUUUAAAAAAAGAUGCCUUUAAAUUAGAUUUAACUAUAAAGUUAGAGUUAAGAUAUAUCAUUAAUUUGUAUGUUGUUUCUUUAAUUCCAUUUGUUUGGUCACCAAGAAAUCAAAGGCAAAAGAAGACAAGGAAGUGGGUCUUUCAUUUUUUUUUGUCUCCCUUGAUAGUGUUCUAUCUAAGCCAUAUCUUUGUAUCUCAGUUGAGUGUGCAUAUAUUCGGUUUUGGUAGAUGUUUGACAAGUUCGCAAUGUUUCAAUCCUAACCGAACUUUCAAUUUUCUUUGUUGAAAGCUCGAUGUCGAUUCCUAUAAUGUUUUUUGAAUUUUUGCAGCAAAUGCUUGGACUAUGCAGAAUUUGUGAAUUGAACAAGUUUAAAGGGUUAGAAAGAACUGCAAAAGCUUGAAUUAGGGUUUCGAUUUCAAGAAAUGGAUUUUAAUUGCUGGGUUUAAAGUCAAUUGCAUGUUUUUAGUGAAGAACAUCAACUACUAAGUGUUUGAUUACCAUAUGAGAGCUAUCUGGUUGGGAUACUGAUAAAAUGUUUUGGGAAGUUUUGCUUGCGGAAGGAACCUUAGAAGUAGGUUCUUGAAUCCUUUGAAGUUCUUGCCGUUAAAAGAACCUUCCCAAUUGCUUAAUAAACCUUUGAAUCUGAGCAUGAGGAAAUUUUAUGUCCUACUUUUACCUGUUGAAUUGCACCAUACCUUGCAAAAUAUUUUAAGUUCACUCAGCGCUGAGAUGUCAGUGUGCUCUUCUGGGAGAAAGAAAAGUAGGAAAUGAUUCUUUGCUGCAGAUGCCUUAUGAUAAUUCAACUUGUUCAAUUGUUGGGCGGAUGAAUAUAUACAUGUAUUUGUAUGAUACUGACGUGGAUUCCAUGCAUUUUGCAAUUUUCUAGCAUUAUGAAGAAUUUGGUUAUUAACUAUGAAUAGGAUAACAUCAAAACAAUGUUGAAAUUUGAAUGCCUACCUAACGGAAUUUUUUUUUUCUACAGGGGUUGUAAGGCCUGUGGGAGACAGGAAAUUGAGAAGGGCUGCAAUGGAGAAGGAAGGAUUCAAGGUGGGAUUGCAACAUUUCCAGGGUUUGGUUGGUGGCCAAUAAAGGCUUACAGACCAUGUCCUGGAUUUGUGGCAUCUGGUGGCAGGUAUAGGCGGCAAGGGCAAAGCAUGGAUGAAGUUGCCUUUGGGAGGGGGGAGAAAAGAACUCGUACAGGAAGCAGCACUGAGGUUGAAUC